GAUGAACGCUGGCGGCGUGCCUAAUACAUGCAAGUCGAGCGAACGGACGAGAAGCUUGCUUCUCUGAUGUUAGCGGCGGACGGGUGAGUAACACGUGGAUAACCUACCUAUAAGACUGGGAUAACUUCGGGAAACCGGAGCUAAUACCGGAUAAUAUUUUGAACCGCAUGGUUCAAAAGUGAAAGACGGUCUUGCUGUCACUUAUAGAUGGAUCCGCGCUGCAUUAGCUAGUUGGUAAGGUAACGGCUUACCAAGGCAACGAUGCAUAGCCGACCUGAGAGGGUGAUCGGCCACACUGGAACUGAGACACGGUCCAGACUCCUACGGGAGGCAGCAGUAGGGAAUCUUCCGCAAUGGGCGAAAGCCUGACGGAGCAACGCCGCGUGAGUGAUGAAGGUCUUCGGAUCGUAAAACUCUGUUAUUAGGGAAGAACAUAUGUGUAAGUAACUGUGCACAUCUUGACGGUACCUAAUCAGAAAGCCACGGCUAACUACGUGCCAGCAGCCGCGGUAAUACGUAGGUGGCAAGCGUUAUCCGGAAUUAUUGGGCGUAAAGCGCGCGUAGGCGGUUUUUUAAGUCUGAUGUGAAAGCCCACGGCUCAACCGUGGAGGGUCAUUGGAAACUGGAAAACUUGAGUGCAGAAGAGGAAAGUGGAAUUCCAUGUGUAGCGGUGAAAUGCGCAGAGAUAUGGAGGAACACCAGUGGUGAAGGCGACUUUCUGGUCUGUAACUGACGCUGAUGUGCGAAAGCGUGGGGAUCAAACAGGAUUAGAUACCCUGGUAGUCCACGCCGUAAACGAUGAGUGCUAAGUGUUAGGGGGUUUCCGCCCCUUAGCGCUGCAGCUAACGCAUUAAGCACUCCGCCUGGGGAGUACGACCGCAAGGUUGAAACUCAAAGGAAUUGACGGGGACCCGCACAGGCGGUGGAGCAUGUGGUUUAAUUCGAAGCAACGCGAAGAACCUUACCAAAUCUUGACAUCCUUUGACAACUCUAGAGAUAGAGCCUUCCCCUUCGGGGGACAAAGUGACAGGUGGUGCAUGGUUGUCGUCAGCUCGUGUCGUGAGAUGUUGGGUUAAGUCCCGCAACGAGCGCAACCCUUAAGCUUAGUUGCCAUCAUUAAGUUGGGCACUCUAAGUUGACUGCCGGUGACAAACCGGAGGAAGGUGGGGAUGACGUCAAAUCAUCAUGCCCCUUAUGAUUUGGGCUACACACGUGCUACAAUGGACAAUACAAAGGGCAGCGAAACCGCGAGGUCAAGCAAAUCCCAUAAAGUUGUUCUCAGUUCGGAUUGUAGUCUGCAACUCGACUACAUGAAGCUGGAAUCGCUAGUAAUCGUAGAUCAGCAUGCUACGGUGAAUACGUUCCCGGGUCU
rnacentral:rRNA from 1 species